GACGAACGCUGGCGGCGUGCUUAACACAUGCAAGUCGAACGGAGUGGCGAACGGGUGAGUAACACGUGGGUGAUCUGCCUUGAACUUAGGGAUAAGCUUGGGAAACUGGGUCUAAUACCGGAUAGUGCAAGAUGAGCUCGCGGCCUAUCAGCGUGUUGGUGGGGUAAUGGCCUACCAAGGCGGCGACGGGUAGCCGGCCUGAGAGGGUGUACGGCCACAUUGGGACUGAGAUAAGGCCCAGGCUCCUAGGGGGGGCAGCAGUGGGGAAUAUUGCACAAUGCGCGGAAGCCUGAUGGAGCGACGCCGCGUGGGGGAUGAAGGCAUUCGGGUUGUAAACUCCUUUCGGCAGGGACGCGGUACCUGUAUAAGAAGCACCUGCUAACUACGUGCCAGCCGCCGCGGUAAUAC
rnacentral:rRNA from 1 species